AUGGCGAAGCCGCUGCUCGUGGGGGCGGACAGGUACAAGCUCGAGAGGCUGAAGCUGAUCUGCGAGGAGGAGCUGUGCCGCCACAUGGGCGUCCAUUCGGUGGCCGCCAUGCUAGCGCUGGCGGAGCAGCACUGUUGCCGCGUGCUCAAGGAGGCUUGCACGCGGUUCCUCUCCGAGCCCGGUAAUCUGAAAGCAGCCAUGGCGACGCGUGACUUCGAGCAGCUGAAGACGGGUUGCCACCCUGCUCUCAUGGAGCUCGUCAUGAAGCAGUAUAUUGCCGCGACAGAAGCAUAG
rnacentral:rRNA from 1 species